rnacentral:rRNA from 1 species
GAUGAAAGCUCCGGCGGCAUAGGAUGGGCCUGCGGCGUAUCAGGUUGUAGGGGGUGUAACGUACCCUCUAGCCCUCUACGCGUACGGGUGUUGGGAGACAUAGCCCGGAGAUGGAUUCUGAGACACGAAUCCAGACCCUACGGGGUGCAGCAGGCGCGAAAACUUGGCAAUGCGAGAAAUCGUGACCAGGGAACUCCAAGUGCAUCGGGUAAGACCGGUGCUUUUCUUGACUCUAAAUAGGUCUUGGAAUAAGGGGUGGGUAAGGACGGUGCCAGCCGCCGCGGUAAUACCGGCGCCUCAAGUGGUAGUCGCUUUUAUUGGGCCUAAAACGUCCGUAGCCGGUCUGAUACAUUCGUGGGUAAAUCAACCAGCUUAACUGGUUGAAUUCUGCGAGGACGGUCAGACUUGGGACCGGGAGAGGUGUGGGGUACGCUCAGGGUAGGGGUAAAAUCCUGUCAUCCUGAGCGGACCACCUGUUGCGAAGGCGCCACACUAGAACGGAUCCGACGGUCAGGGACGAAGCCUAGGGGCACGAACCGGAUUAGAUACCCGGGUAGUCCUAGGUGUAAACGCUGUGGACUUGAUGUUGGGGGUGCUCCGAGCACUCUCAGUGUCGAAGCGAAGGUGAUAAGUCCACUGCCUGGGAAGUACGGUCGCAAGGCUGAAACUUAAAGGAAUUGGCGGGGGAGCACCGCAACCUGAGGAUUGUGCGGUUUAAUUGGAUUCAACGCCGGGA